UAAUGCAUAGGAAUCUACCUAGUAGUAUAGGAUAGCCACUAGAAAUGGUGGGUAAUACUGUAUAAUCCCUGCGGGGGAAAGAUUUAUCGCUACUAGAUGAGCCUAUGUCAGAUUAGCUAGUUGGUGGGGUAAUGGCCCACCAAGGCUGUGAUCUGUAGCUGGUCUGAGAGGAUGAUCAGCCACACUGGAACUGAGACACGGUCCAGACUCCUACGGGAGGCAGCAGUGGGGAAUAUUGGACAAUGGGCGCAAGCCUGAUCCAGCUAUGCCGCGUGAGUGAGGAAGGCCUUAGGGUUGUAAAACUCUUUCAGUAGGGAAGAUAAUGACGGUACCUACAGAAGAAGUCCCGGCAAACUCCGUGCCAGCAGCCGCGGUAAUACGGAGGGGGCAAGCGUUGUUCGGAAUUAUUGGGCGUAAAGGGCAUGUAGGCGGUUUGGUAAGUUAAAGGUGAAAUACCAGGGCUUAACCCUGGGGCUGCUUUUAAUACUGCAGGACUAGAGUCCGGAAGAGGAUAGCGGAAU
rnacentral:rRNA from 1 species